rnacentral:lncRNA from 1 species
GAAGAACUUACAAGAGAAAUUAUGGAGCUUAACUUAGAGCCGGAGGAAUUGUAUAAAGAUGUUGAAGUUGUUGUUUGUACUUCCUCAUCUAAUAUGGAAUUUAGAUGAUGUUUAUGUUUAUUUGGAGAAAUUGGAUGGCGUUUGAAUGAUGUUUAUGUUUAUUUGGGAGAAUUAGGAUGAUGUUUAAUUAGAACUUUUAUACAUUUGUGCUUAUGUGAAGAAUAUUAAAAUUUAUUUUUGUGUUAAUUACUUUAUUCUUUUUUUUUUUUUUUUUCUGAAUCUUGAUGAACAUAUGAAUUUUAUUGAUCAGUUUGUGUUUUUAAUUAUGAUUUGAAACAAAUAGAUCUCAAAUUGGAAAUUAUUGUGAGUUGGAUUCCGUCUAGCUAUGUUAUUUCAAUUAUUCCUAAAAUGAUUCAUUUCUGAAAAGAAAAGAAUAAAUUAAUUAAUUAUGAUAAAAUAUAAGGAUAAAAUAAUAAUUAUUCCUAGAAUUUAUAAUAAUUUAUGAUAAUUAAUUUCAUAACUUAAUAAGUUAUUUUGGUUUGACUUAAAUUAUUUAAAUAUAUAUCAAUUUGUAUACCCUGUAAAAUAUAUAGUAUAUCUAAAAAGAUAAAUAUAUAGUAAGUGCAUGCAUACUGUAUUGCAAAGAAACGUUUUUGCUGAAAUUAAUACUAAUGCAUUUGAACCUUUUAACAAAUAAAAAAAGGAAGAGAAAGGUAAUAGUUUCUUCAACACCACCACAUUAUAUGCAAAUCAAUGUGCUAAAGUAGAUUUUAACAAACAAAAAUUAGAAACCCUAUAGCAGCUUAUUUCAAUUCCGUGUGCUCAAUCAAAUAAUAUAAUGGCAAGAAUCUUGUACAUAUGAAAGAGCACCUGGUUUUGUGUAUUUUUUAACAUACUUGCUCAAUUUGUUUCUUAAAUUUCGUUUGAACGUGUGUCUUCAAGCAGCGAUGUUAGGUUUUAAACCCAUGAUUUUGUGGAUAAAGCUCGUUUCUGUUGAUCCAAUUCCUUAUUGAUGAACCAGACGCUAAAUUUGAGUUCAUCAUAAAUUUUAGUAAGUUAAAGCAUUUAAGCCUACAAUGAAUAGAAAAGAAGUCCUAUGUAUUGUCAACAGUAAAAAGAGAAAUUGAGAGAAAUGCAAAUAUAAUCUAUCCAUGGCAACAAAAAGAAAUAACCUAUUAUCUUCUUCCUCAUCACCAACACGUACGUGUCUCUGCUCACCUACAGCCCAUCCAGGCUCGUUCAAGUGCAGCCUACACAGAAUUACUACUAUUACAACAUCUGGUGGACUUUAUCGAGAAUCAACGGCUCAUUUGAACCGAUCAUCAAUGUUGGAGGUGUCUUCUUCAUCAAAAUCAAAGACAAUGAUGAUCAACUCAAAAGCUGACACCAUAAAGGCAUUUCUUUUACAGAUUAUCAAGCCAUCAAGCCAUGAUCUUCAAAGAAGACGAAACUUUCAGCCCAAGCCUACAAGGUUCUCCCCUUUUAAUGCCUGCAAUCACCAUUUUCAUGGUGGCCUCACUGUUUCUUGAUCAACAUAGAGGAGGAGAGAUGGAGGUGUUCUUUUCUUUUCUUUUUUUUUUUUCCCGUUUCUUUCUUUCUAUUUUUUCCUUUUAUCAAAUUAAGUAGAAAACAAUUAUUUUCUGGUUGCCAAUGUGCAAUAAUUAAGUGAAUAAUAAUAGUUUUUUUUUUAAACUUAUUUAUGUCAGAAAAUUUUAUUCAAAAAAUAAACGUCAGAAAAUUAGAAAGUAAAUUUAAUUUAGUUGCUUUUAAAGAAAUUUUAAUCCAGAAAACUGAAUUUUUGAUUGAUGAGGAUGGUAAAAUUGCAAGCUAUCCUCGUCGGUUUCUUUCCUUUCUCUUCUUUUAAUAUGUCUACCUUUUGUAUAUAUGAUUUUUAUUUUAUUUUUUAUACAUAUGUACGAUUUUUAUUUAAUACCUAUGAUUGAUAAUUUUUAUUCAUGUAUAUAUUACAGUAACUAGCGAUAUAGCCGUGCUAUACACGGUUAAAAAAAAUAAAAUAAAGUAAAAUUGAGAGAAUAUAUAUAUAAUUUAUAGAUUCUUGAAUAAAAUUUUUUUUAUUAUGUUAUUAAAAAUAUUAUAAAGAUAUAUCAAUAGUAAAAAAAAAGACACAGCAUGAUUAUUGAUUAUUAAAGUAAAAAUUAGUAGAUAAGCAUGUGUUUUGGAAUAUGGAUUAAAAUUAAUAAAAUUUAUAGAGAUAAAAAAAAAAAAGUAAAACAAGAGGUGGUAAAAUUCAUUAAUUUGAUUUGUUUUAAAAUUAAUGUAAAAUUAAAAUAAUGAACUUGUUAUUUCCUCAAAAUCUAUGAAUAAAUAAUUUAUUUUAAAUAACUAAAAGUUCUAUAAAUCUUCAACUUAUCAUAUUAUUAAUACUAUAACUAUCAAUUAUAUUUAAUAUAAUUUAAUUUAAUACAAAAAUUUUUAAUUUUUUAAUAUAAAAUAAUAAUUAUCCAUAUCAUUAAAAUUUAUAAAUUAUGUAAUUUAUUUGUAUCAUUAAAGUUAUCUAAAUUGUUACUUAAUACACUAUUAAUUCUCUAUCGUUAUAUUAAUCAAUUACAUUUAAAAUGAUUUAAUUUAAUCAUAAAUUAAGUUAUUUUUAAAUAAAUAUAAAAACAAACAAAUUAGUUAUAUACAUGUCAUUAAUUUGGAAUCCUACGUGGUAACACCAAAAAAAAUUAUGUCUACUUUAUAUAUAUAUGUGUGUGUGUGUGUUGAUUUGAUAAUUUACGGCGAUAAAAUCAUUUUAAAUAAUCUUUAAAAAGGAGACACAAAAAGUUUGAGUAAGAACUGCUUACCCCAUUUGUGGAAAUUGUUGAAACGUAGAAAAUUCUAAACUUAAAAAAAAACGAAUAAUACAUUUAAAAGCAGAGACCAAUAUAUCCUUACAAAAAAUACAGAAUAAUAUAGUGAUACAACUUAUAUAUGGUAUUUAUAAAAAAACUAAAGUGUUUUUUGAUGAUAAAUAAUUUAAAAUUUUUUAAAAAAUAUUACUAUUGCAUUUAAAAAAAUGGAAACGUUUAGAUAGGAACCGUUAAAUAUACAUUUACGAUUGUUAGAGUAAAAAUUUAUUACUUUAUAAAUUUGAGGGUAAAUAUUUGUUACAAAGCAAUACAUUGAAUACUUCAUUGUUAUUAAACUUUAUCAUUUUUUAAAAAUUAAUAAUUAAUAAUAAUUACUUAAAGCCAUUAAUAUAUAUAUAUUGAUGGCCACUAAUUCAAUUUGUUAGAGUAGCUAACUGCCUAUUUUAUAUAGACUAGCUUCUGUAUAAGAGGAUAUUGAAUCUCAACAUUGAAGACGAGCAUAAGAAAAACGUCUUUUAAUAGAGAAUGAGCAAGCUUAUUUGUUUACCUAUUAAUCCAAAUCAAAGAAACAUUAACAAGUUGGAUAACAUUGAGAUUGCCUAAAACGUUCGUACUAAAUUUUUGGAUUUACAAAAAUAUCAUUAAUAGUUUUAAUUUGAUUAGUUCAAAAAAUAAAGAUAAUUUAAUUUUAAUUGAUCAUAUUAAUUUCUUUUAUCAAUUUAAACUCUAUUGGAUAAAAUAAAAAUUAUAUUAUAUAAUAUAUAAUGUGUAUAUAAAAUAUAGUAAUAUUAUUCGGUUUCACCUUUCUUGUAACAGGAAAUAAUAGUUUUGAAACUGAAAUCAUAUAAUAUAAUAUUUAAUAAGGUACAUAGUUUAUAUAUUAAACAUGGUAAUAUAUAUAUAUAUAUAUUAAAUGGUAAUAUAAUGUAAUAUGGUAAUAAUAUUUGAUGGAUACUAAAUAAGGUACAUUAAAUAUGGUAAGAAUAUAAUACUUUUAAAUAUUUUAAUUUUAUUGGUUGAAAAAAUAAAGGUAAUUUAAUUUUUAUUUGUUAUAUUAUAUACUAUAUAAGGUAUGUAUUAAAUAUGAUAUGAAUAUAAUAUAUUUAAAUAUUAUUUUUUUAGAGAAAUUAUUAAUUUUAAUAAAACUUUAAUUUGAUUAGUUAUAAUUAUAAAUAUGUUAUUUCCUAAACAAGUUAUUUAAUUAUUGAAUUUUUUAUUAUUUCAUAAAAUUUAUGAAUAUUUUUAAAUUUUUAGUAAUACAAACUGUUUAUAAUGUUUGUAUAGAUUAAAUUUCACUUACUUGCAAUGUGAAAAAAAUCAAUCAAAUUUCAUUUACUUGCAAUGUGAAAAAAUCAAUGAAAACAAACAACGUGCAAUACACACGUUAAAGAAAAUUAAUUUUCUAAGAAAAUAACAGAUAAUAAAAUCACUCGCUCUCGUCGAACUAAAAGAAAGAAUAUAGUAAAUUAAUACCUUAGUCAAUUUUUUUUUUUUUCAUAAUAACAAGGUGUUAGUCAGGGCAGAGUAUAAGCGACUUCAAUCUCCGUAAGAGUGGGAAUAUAAUUUCAAUUUCUGAGAAGCAUUAUUUACCGAGAGAGUCAAUAACCUUUAUAUUUUAUGGCCCGAGAAAAAUUACACCCCGGUGAGUAUUACCAAAAGAAUUAUAAUUAAUUUCGAUAAAAAAAAAAGGAAUUGAGCAUUUUUUUUUAAUUGCUAUUCCCUCUUGUAUAAAAGUAUUUUUGAUAUUUUAAUGAAAAAUACUUCUUAUAAAUAUAUAGGAAAUUAAUUAGAAAGGGGUGGAGCAAUAAUUUGGAAAUUGAUAAGAAGAAUAGGUAUUUCACUAUGUGAAGUAUUUUUUUUUAGAAAAAAAUGAUUUUGAAGAGCGUCAACAAUAUAUAUUAUAUUGAAAAUUUUGAUGUUCAUAUUUUCAAAUUUUUUAUUCUACAUUGAUAUUUUCAAAUUAAGGUGUCACUAUUUUAUGGAUAGAAAUGAAAUAUAUGGAGUACAAACAACCAAUGAAUAAAAGGAAAGUGAGGCUUAAUAACAAAAGAAAUUAAAAAUUAAAAAUUUUGUUUAAGGCAACAUAAUUAAAUCACUUUUAUUUGAAAGUAAAUGAGUCCCUUUUGUGGUAGUGUUAAUCACAUUUUUGAGCACAUAAAAUAAAUGAGGAAAAUUUUUUCAUCACACUAACAUGAUUUGAAUCCUUAAACUCAAAUUAAACUUUGAUUAGAUAUAUCUCAUGACAACUUGCAGUGUUUUUAUUUAUUUUUUUUACAUGUUAUUUCAACAUAAAGGCUACAUUCGUUUCCAUGAAAUAAUUUGCAGAAAAAUAUUUUCCACAAUUUUUCAUUGUUUGGGGUAUUCAGAAAAAUAAGUCAACCGAAAAUAUAUUCCUGGUUAAAAGAAAAUUAUGUAAUUUUUAAGGAAAAUGACUUACUAUUUUCAAGAGCGUAAAACAUUUUCUGAAUUUUUACAAAUUUAUUAUAACCUUAUAAAUUCAUAACUUUUUAAUUUAUUAAUCAUCGGUAGCCACGACCAUCACUCACCAUUCAUCACCAGCCAGCACCAUCGGUCAUCGUCUGCCAUCACAAUAGAUCAUUGGCGACUUUCAUAAUUUAUCUUUUUUUUUUUUGCAUUAUUCUCAUAUUUAAUAAUAAAAUUUUUAAAACAUGAGAUUUGUAUUAUUAUUAUAACUGUUUUUAUGGUCUUAUGAGUUAAAAAUUUUAAUAUUUUAACUAAUUUUCAAAAUUGCAAUAGAACAACGAAAAAUAAGUGAUUUGAAAAAUAUUUUUCAAGAAAAAUAUUAACAUUGCUAAUGUGGUUUUCUAUUUCCAAAUUAAAGGAAAAUAUGGUUUACAUAAACCACCUAGCUAAAGGUGGACAAUUGGCCUAACCAAACCAGAGGGAAGAGUUUGGAAAUCGAUUCAAUAUCAAAUCAAACCAGAUCAAUUUUGGGUUUGGUUCAAUUAUCCGAACCGAAUAAUAUAUUUUAGACGUUAAAGUGAAUAUAUUCGGUUAGUUAUGCAAGUGACAAAACCAAAAACCAUUGGUUUAUCACUAUUAAAACUGUGUAGUAACCAAACUUUUAAAAGUUGACCAAAUCAAAUCGAAAUGGUUCGAUUUGAUUAUUUGAUCCGAACCAAAAUACUGUUUACGCCUACUCCUACCUUAUAAAAACAUAUUAAAAAGUUUUCUAUGUGAGUUUUAGAAGUUUUCUAUUUUAGUUUUUUUCUAUAAAGAAAACAAAAGGGGUUUUCUAUUUUAGAAUUAACUUCAACUAACUCUAAACUAAAUAACUCAAUCCAAGGUUUGCAAAAUAUGGAAUGUAGCCGGAUUUUUUCGGUAAAGUGUAAGGACAAAUUUAUGUAUUUGGAUGAUUAUUAUUGUAAUUUAUAUGAACCAAUUCCAUUAUUUAAAAUAUAAGGCGUGUUUGGUUGGGGGUAAGGAGAUUAGGGAAGUGCAUAAGUGAUUGUGUUUGAUUUGCAUUAUCAAUUCUACUUUCUGAGAAGUAGAUCAUUCAAUUUUCCUUAUACAAAGGAAGUAAGUUCCUUAGGUAUAGGUAGAGAAGUGCAACUUCCUUAAUUAAAUGCAAUGAAUUUAUUAAUUUAUCCUAUUAACUAUAUUAUGGAUAUCAUUGUGAUUUAUAGUUUGAGAGCAAUUCACUUCCUACGAAGUUGAUUUACAUAACCAAACACAUAUAAAUUAUACUUCGCGAAAAAUAAUUUCUUUCAAAGUGUACUUCAUGAGAAUUAUACUUUCCCGGAAUUAAGCGAUUUUGAACGUUACUAUUAAAGAAUUAAAUAUUAUAUGUGUGAUUUGUGGAAAGAAACUAUAUACAUGCAAUUUCAUAACUUGAAGUUAUUCUAUAAAAGAGAUGUUUUUCUUUUUCGCUUCUAUAGUGGCUCCUUUUCUUCCUUUCUUGUACAAUGAAAGUUGAUCUCGUCUCUGAGUCAAUAUAUAUAUACUAAGGUUAAAAACCAGAUUUGGUAAUAUAGUUCAGGCAACCAUAAUAACGCCAUUGUCUGUGAAGAACUUAACAGGCAGAGCAAAACCUUAAAUGAAUUUCCGACCUUCUCAGGUUUUGUAAUAANNNNNNNNNNNNNNNNNNNNNNNNNNNNNNNNNNNNNNNNNNNNNNNNNNNNNNNNNNNNNNNNNUGUAACUGAUUCUCUUUUUCUCUAGAAAUUUGAUUUCUUUAAGGGAAACGAUGAGGAGGAUAAUCUAUCCGUCGAAACCCUUUAUUUGAUUUUUGAUUUCUGUGGUGGGUUUUGAAAUUUCGAUUUUCUUUCCUUUAAUUCGAUUUAUUGGAUCAUGUUUUAAUUUUUCAGCUUUAAAUUAUAAUUUUACAAAUUAUCAGAAAUAUUUUAACUUCUCCCUUUCGUUCUUUGGUUCGUACAUUGUUACGCUUUGAGAGUAAAUUUUAAGUUAAUGAAUGUUAAGCAAAAAAAAAAAUUUUUUUUGUUGGUUAUUUGCGGUAGAAUCAAUGACAUAGUAGAGUUUUUAAGGCUUAUUAUAGAAUUAGAUUUAUUCCUUCAAUUGAUAGUCUUUCUUUCUUUCUUUCUUAGUGUUCCUAGCAGCUGUUAAUUAAUUAUUCUUGGUUGGUAUCUGAUGGACACCAAUAACUGGACGCCUACCGGCCAAGGUGCAGAACCUACAAUGGAUGCUGGUGAUUGGAGAGCUCAGUUGCAGCCUGAUUCGCGGCAGCGAAUUGUCAACAAGAUGUGGGUGCCGUUGCUUUCAAUUUGUAGCUUUUCAUUUACAUAUAUCUAAGUUGCAGUGGCUUUGCUAUAAAAUUAGUAAUUUACAUCCCUAACGUCAAUACAAAUAUUUUAUACAUUGAGGGUCCUCUUCUUUGUGCUUAUAAUAUAAUUGGUAAUGCAAUAUUUGCAUGUAGAAUGGAGACAUUAAAGAGACAUCUUCCAUUUUCUGGUCAAGAGGGAUUGGAAGAACUCAAGAAAAUUGCAGUGCGGUUUGAGGAAAAGAUUUAUACUGCUGCUGCAAGCCAGGUAUGCUCUUAAUGAUGAAGUAUACGUCCUUAUGUUAAUCCUCUUGGUUUGUUCAUUUUAUUUAGAAGGGUAGGAGAUUGAUCCUGAACAACGGAAGUGUACACAAAAUAAUAGGGGAGAGGGAGAAAGCCCAGAGUUUUGAUGGGGGGGUGUUGUUUGUUGUGGGUGGGUUGGGGGGCAGCGGAACUGCAAAUAUGGGUAUCCACUAUAUGCCAAUGGUUCAGCAUGUAGCCUCCUCACACCCCGCCUCUCCCAUUAAAAAUCUUGACUGCAACAUUUUUAUAGUGGAUCGUUGUGAGUUCUAAGUUUAUUCUAAUGAUCUCUGAUUUCAGCCGGAUUAUCUACGGAAAAUUUCUUUGAAGAUGCUUACAAUGGAGUCCAAGUCUCAAAAUCCUAUGCCGAAUUCUUUACCACCCAAUGCAUCUGGCAAUAGCAACAGAGCGCCUGAUCCAGGAGGUAAUAACUCUAUAUAACAUUGGACUUCCAUGUGAUGCCAUUGUCAACAUUUCAUUUUGGGUUGACGUCACAAGCAGUCAUGAACUAGUCAGUGACUGUCCCUGAUGUAGCAAUAGCCCUAUGUACACUUCUUUACCACCCAGACAGCUUGGUCCAGAAGGUAAUAGCUUGAUUGAACGUGGGACUUCUAUUUGAUGCGAUUGUCCAAGUAUUAACUCAUGUUAGCUUUUGGUGAUGUAAGGUUACGAUUUUCUUGUCUGUUUGGAUUAAUUAACUCUAAUUUACUAGUCCUUAACUUUUGAUUGGUUAAGACAGUUCUAAAUUCACUCCGAACAUAGUUAGGCCAUUUAGAAAUUUAUGAAGCUGAAGUUGGUAUCGAGCAUUGUACUUAGCAGGAGUUCAAAACAGAGGAGCAGUUCACUGCUUUUGCAAUUUGUCUAGCAAAAUUACAGAGAGGGAUGUAAAAGGAGAGAGAAUUAGGAGUUAUUUUGGUACAAACUGAAAAUUUAAUACUUGAAUUUGAAGUGUUGAAUAAUUUACUCCAACUUGCAUACAUGACAGUUCUUUUUGUAAGAUGCACAAAUUGAUCAAAUUUUUUCAUCCAUGUUUUGGUAUUUAUACAAUUAUCAUGUUGCUAUGUCCUCUCUAGAACUGAAUCCGCCAUUACUCAUAUUCGUGCGGAUUUAAAAUGCUCCAAGUAGUCAGAUUUUUUUUUUUUUAAAAAAAAGAUACUGAGAAGUUUGUAAUUGACCAAAUUAAUUUCAAUGCUAAAAUUAGACAAAACCGCUGAGUAUUUUAAAAUUCUGAGUAUCUCCUCCCUCAAUUCCAUUUAAGGGGCAAAAAGAAGAUUUGUUAGUGAAGGUUUCUGCCAUUUUUUACUUGUUGAAAUCAUUUUAUUUGCUUCUAUUUAACUAAUUAACAUUUCUUAUUUGCUUCAUAGAUGCAAAGAAAGCAGAGUUGGAAGAACUUACAAGAGAAAUUAUGGAGCUUAUCUUAGAGCCGGAGGAAUUGUAUAAAGAUGUUGAAGUUGUUGUUUGUACUUCCUCAUCUAAUAUGGAAUUUAGAUGAUGUUUAUGUUUAUUUGGAGAAACUGGAUGGCGUUUGAAUGAUGUUUAUGUUUAUUUGGGAGAAUUCGGAUGAUGUUUAAUUAGAACUUUUAUACAUUUGUGCUUAUGUGAAGAAUAUUAAAAUUUAUUGUUGUGCUUAUUAUAUUAUAUAAUAUAUAAUGUGUAUAUAAAAUAUGUUAAUAUAUAUAUAUAUUGAAUUUUAUUGAUCAAUUUGUGUUUUAAACCCAUAACUUUGGAGGUAAAGCUCAUUUCUGUUGAUCGAACUCCUUGUUGAUGAACCACACACUAAAUUUGAGUUCAUCAUAAAUUUUAGUAAGUUAAAACAUUUAAGGCUGCAAUGAAUGGAAAAGAAGUCCUAUGUAUUGUCAACAGUAAAAAGAGAAAUAGAGAGAAAUGCAAAUAUAAUCCAUCCAUGGCAACAAAAAGAAAUAACCUAUUAUCUUCUUCCUCAUCACCAACACGUACAUGUCUCUGCUCACCUACAAACCAUCCAGGCUCGUUCAAGUGCAGCCUACACAGAAUUACUACUAUUACAACAUCUGGUGGACUUUAUCGAGAAUCAACAGCUCAUUUGAACCGAUCAUCAAUGUUGGAGGUGUCUUCUUCAUCAAAAUCAAAGACAAUGAUGAUCAAUUCAAAAGCUGAUACCAUAAAGGCAUUUCUUUUACAGAUUAUCAAGCCAUCAAGUCAUGAUCUUCAAAGAAGACGAAACUUUCAGCCCAAGCCUACAAGAUUCUCCCCUUUUAAUGCCUGCAAUCACCAUUUUCAUGGUGGCCUCACUGUUUCUUGAUCAGCAUAGAGGAGGAGAGAUGAAGGUGUUCUUUUCUUUUCUUUUCUUUUCUUUUUUUUUUUUUUCGUUUCUUUCUUUCUAUUUUUUCCUUUUAUCAAAUUAAGUAGAAAACAAUUAUUUUCUGGUUGCCAAUGUGCAAUAAUUAAGUGAAUAAUAAUAGUUUUUUUUUUAAACUUAUUUAUGUCAGAAAAUUUUAUUCAAAAAAUAAACGUCAGAAAAUUAGAAAGUAAAUUUAAUUUAGUUGCUUUUAAAGAAAUUUUAAUCGAGAAAACUGAAUUUUUGAUUGAUGAGGAUGGUAAAAUUGCAAGCUAUCCUCGUCGGUUUCUUUCCUUUCUCUUCUUUUAAUAUGUUCACCUUUUGUAUAUAUGCUUUUUAUUUUAUUUUUUUAUACAUAUGUACGAUUUUUAUUUAAUACCUAUGAUUGAUAAUUUUUAUUCAUGUAUAUAUUGCAGUAACUAGCGAUAUACCCGUGCUAUGCACGAUUAAAAAAAAUAAAAUAAAGUAAAAUUGAGAGAAUAUAUAUAUAAUUUAUAGAUUCUUGAAUAAAAUUUUUUUUAUUAUGUUAUUAAAAAUAUUAUAAAGAUAUAUCAAUAGUAAAAAAAAAGAUAUAUAUAGCGUGAUUAUUGAUUAUUAAAUUAAAAUUAAUAGAUAGGCAUGUGUUUUGGAAUAUGGAUUAAAAAUAUUAAAAUUUAUAGAGAUAAAUUAAAAAAAAAGUAAAAUGAGAGGUGGUAAAAUUCAUUAAUUUGAUUUAUUUUAAAAUUAAUGUAAAAUUAAAAUAAUGAACUUGUUAUUUCAUUAAAAUCUAUGAAUAAAUAAUUUAUUUUAAAUAACUAAAAGUUGUAUAAAUCUUCAACUUAUCAUAUUGUUAAUACUAUAAUUAUAAAUUAUAUUUAAUAUAAUUUAAUUUAAUACAAAAAUUUUAAUAUUUUAACUAAUUUUCAAAAUUGCAACAGAAAAACGAAAAAUAAAUAAUUUGAAAAAUAUUUUUCAAGAAUUUUUUUUUUUUUUUGAAAAAUAAUUUUCAAAGAUAUGUUAUUUUUUGGAAACAAAUGGAGCCCCUAAUUGGUAGAAUUAUCUUUCAUUUUUUAAAGUAAAAAAAAAAAAAAAAAAAACAUAAAUUAAAAUUGCAAUUUUGGCUUUUUUUUCCCAAAUUAAAUAUGGUUUACAUAAACCACCUAGCUAAAGGUGGACAUUCGGCAUAACCAAACCAGAGGGAAGAGUUUGGAAAUCAAUUCAAUAUCAAAUCAAACCAGAUCAAUUUUGGGUUUGGUUCAAUUAUUCGAACCGAAUAAUAUAUUUUAGACGUUAAAGUGAAUUCGGUUAGUUAUGCAAGUGACAAAACCAAAUACCAUUCGUUUAUCACUAUUCAAAUUGUGUAGUAAUCAAACUUUUAAAAGUUGACCAAAUCAAAUCGAAAUGGUUCGAUUUGAUUAUUUGAUCCGAACCAAAAUACUAUUUACGCCUACUCCUAGCUUAUAAAAACAUAUUAAAAAGUUUUCUAUGUGAGUUUUAGAAGUUUUCCAUUUUAGUUUUUUGCUAUAAAGAAAACAAAAGGGGUUUUCUAUUUUAGAAUUAACUUCAAAUAACUCUAAACUAAAUAACUCAAUCCAAGGUUUGCAAAAUAUGGAAUGUAGCCGGAUUUUUUCGGUAAAGUGUAAGGACAAAUUUAUGUAUUUGGAUGAUUAUUAUUGUAAUUUAUAUGAACCAAUUCCAUUAUUUAAAAUAUAAGGUGUGUUUGGUUGGGGGGUAAGGAGAUUAGGGAAGUGCAUAAGUGUUUUUUUGUUUGAUUUGCAUUAUCAAUUAUACUUUCUGAGAAGUAGAUCAUUCAAUUUCUCUUAUACAAGGGAAGUAAAUUCCUUAGGUAUAAGUAGAGAAGUGCAACUUCCUUAAUUAAAUGCAAUGAAUUUACUAAUUUAUCCUAGUAACUAUAUUGUGGAUAUCAUUGUGAUUUAUAGUUUGAGAGCAAUUCAUUUCUUACAAAGUUGAUUUACAUACCAAACACAUAUAAAUUAUACUUCUUGAAAAAUAAUUUCCUUCAAAGUAUACUUCAUGAGAAUUAUACUUUUCGGAAGUAAGUGAUUUUGAACCAAACGAGGCCUAAGAUCAUUACUAUUAAAAAAUUAAAUAUUAUAUGUGUCAUUUGUAGAAAGAAACUAUAUACAUGCAAUUUCAUAACUUGAAGUUAUUCUAUAAAAGAGAUGUUUUUCUUUUUCGCUUCUAUAGUGGCUCCUUUUCUUCCUUUCUUGUACAAUGAAAGUUGAUCUCGUCUCUGAGUCAAUAUAUAUAUACUAAGGUUAAAAACCAGAUUUGGUAAUAUAGUUCAGGCAACCAUAAUAACGCCAGUGUCUGUGAAGAACUUAACAGGCAGAGCAAAACCUUAAAUGAAUUUCCGACCUUCUCAGGUUUUGUAAUAAUAUGAUCCCAUUAACGUCUAGAUUAAUUUAUUUUUGCAGAACAAAUGUAAUGAAUUAGGCCAAAAGAGAUGAAUAAAUAACGUAAUUUCCAAGAAAAAGAGGAGCAUUGUCGUUGGAGUAGAGGGAGAGAUGGAGGGGGGGUCACCCUCGCAGCUGUAACUUUGUCUUCUUUCCUUUACCUUAAGAUUGAGACAGCCCUAGUGUGGUCGCUUCUGAGUUUUUUUUUAUCCCUUCUUUUUCUCUUUUCUUUUCUUAAUAUAAAUAAUAAUUAGUAAAUAAAAAACAAAGAUAAAAAUACGUUGAGUCGUUUUCACAACCGCACUCAGUCUCACUUCUUCUUAUUCUCUACCAUUUUUUUUCUUUCUCCUCUGCUCUAUUCACUCACGAGAGCACCAAACCAGUACUUGGAAAACGACAUUCCCAUAACUUUUAAGGCGUGCGCUGGCUGGCUUUGUUCACAUGAUAAAUUCUAGAUCCGGAUGAAAAAAAUGCAUGGAUACAUAUGCUUAUAGAAAAGAAUCAGUAACAGGCCCCCCCCAGCUUCCACCUUCCCCCUUCCCCCUCUAAAUGGACCUACCCAUGAAUGGCACUUUAUCACUUAAAUUGACCAAUUGUUGCUCCACUUUCUAACUCAAAACUAAAGGGACCUCUAUCUAUCUAUCUACCCAAAAAACAAUUAAUGCAAAUUAUAGGUAUGAGGAAAAGAAGAAAAUUACAAUUUUGUAAGUUUAAGGAUUUAAUAUUAACCUAAAAAUUGAGAAAUCAUUAAAACUUUCUUGUAAAUUUUAGGUCAUAGUUUAUACAUUUGGCCAUGAAGUUAGUACAACUAUUGUUUGAUUAUAAUCAAAUUAAUUGACAUCUUCAAAAAAAAAAAAAAAAAGUAACAUUUAUGUUUCAAAAAUAUUUAAUAAAAAAAAGAAGAAAAAAAGGAGGGUAAUGAUGGUAUUUACAUGUGAAAGUUCAACAUAUAAAUAAGAUAUACAUGGAGAGUAAUAUAUUAUAGUAAUAUAUCUGUGCCUGGUGUUAGAGUCUGGGAAUGAAUAGUUUUCUCUGUUGAUUUUCUCUUUCCCUUUCUCUUGUUUCUCCUCCAAAUUUUCAGUGCUUCUGAUAACGAACAACAAAAUCAUUGAGAAACACUCCAAUCGCAAGGUGCUUCUUUUCUCUUUCCCUAAUUUAAAAAAAAAAAAGAAAUGAUAUUCUUUAAGCUUGUAACUGAUUCUCUUUUUCUCUAGAAAUUUGAUUUCUUUAAGGGAAACCAUGAGGAGGAUAAUCUAUCGGUUGAAACCCUUCAUUUGAUUUUUGAUUUCUGUGGUGGGUUUUGAAAUUUCGAUUUUCUUUACUUUAAUUCGAUUUAUUGGAUUAUGUUUUAAUUUUUCAGCUUUAAAUUAUAAUUUUACAAAUUAUCAGAAAUAUUUUAACUUCUCCCUUUCGUUCUUUGGUUCGUUUAUUACUGUAACUGAUUCUCUUUUUCUCUAGAAAUUUGAUUUCUUUAAGGGAAAAGACGAGGAGGAUAAUCUAUCCGUCGAAACCCUUUAUUUGAUUUUUGAUUUCUGUGGUGGGUUUUGAAAUUUCGAUCUUCUUUCCUUUAAUUCGAUUUAUUGGAUUAUGUUUUAAUUUUUCAGCUUUAAAUUAUAAUUUUACAAAUUAUCAGAAAUAUUUUAACUUCUCCCUUUCGUUCUUUGGUUCGUUUAUUACUGUAGAAUAAAAAAUAACAUUGUUACGCUUUGAGAGUAAAUUUUAAGUUAAUGAAUGUUAAGCAAAAAAAAAAAAAAAGAAAACUUUUUAUUGGUUAUUUGCGGUAGAAUCAAUGACAUAGUAGAGUUUUUAAGGCUUAUUAUAGAAUUUUAGAUUUAUUCCUUCAAUUGAUAGUCUUUCUUUCUUUCUUUCUUAGUGUUCGUAGCAGCUGUUAAUUAAUUAUUCUUGGUUGGUAUCUGAUGGAUGCCAAUAACUGGAGGCCCACCGGCCAAGGUGCAGAACCUACAAUGGAUGCUGGUGAUUGGAGAGCUCAGUUGCAGCCUGAUUCGCGGCAGCGAAUUGUCAACAAGAUGUGGGUGCCGUUGCUUUCAAUUUGUAGCUUUUCAUUUACAUAUAUCUAAGUUGCAGUGGCUUUGCUAUAAAAUUAGUAAUUUACAUCCCUAACGUCAAUACAAAUAUUUUAUACAUUGAGGGUCCUCUUCUUUGUGCUUAUAAUAUAAUUGGUAAUGCAAUAUUUGCAUGUAGAAUGGAGACAUUAAAGAGACAUCUUCCAUUUUCUAGUCAAGAGGGAUUGGAAGAACUCAAGAAAAUUGCAGUGCGGUUUGAGGAAAAGAUUUAUACUGCUGCUGCAAGCCAGGUAUGCUCUUAAUGAUGAAGUAUACGUCCUUAUGUUAAUCCUCUUGGUUUGUUCAUUUUAUCUAGAAGGGUAGGAGAUUGGAACAACGGAAGUGUACACAAAAUAAUAGGGGAGAGGGAGAAAGCCCAGAGUUUUGAUGGGGGGGGUGUUGUUUGUUGUGGGUGGGUUGGGGGGCCAGCGGAACUGCAAACAUGGGUGUCCACUAUAUGCCAAUGGUUCAGCAUGUAGCCUCCUCCCACCCCGCCUCUCCCAUUAAAAAUCUUGACUGCAACAUUUUUAUAGUGGAUCGUUGUGAGUUCUAAGUUUAUUCUAAUGAUCUCUGAUUUCAGCCGGAUUAUCUACGGAAAAUUUCUUUGAAGAUGCUUACAAUGGAGUCCAAGUCUGAAAAUCCUAUGCCGAAUUCUUUACCACCCAAUGCAUCUGGCAAUAGCAACAGAGCCCCUGAUCCAGGAGGUAAUAACUCUACAUAACAUUGGACUUCCAUGUGAUGCCAUUGUCAACAUUUCAUUUUGGGUUAAUGUCACAAGCAGUCAUGAACUAGUCAGUGACUGUCCCUGAUAUAGCAAUAACCCUAUGUACACUUCUUUACCACCCAGACAGCUUGGUCCAGAAGGUAAUAGCUUGAUUGAACGUUGGACUUCUAUUUGAUGCGAUUGUCCAAGUAUUAACUCAUGUUAGCUUUUGGUGAUGUAAGGUUACGAUUUUCUUGUCUGUUUGGAUUAAUUAACACUAAUUUACUAGUCCUUAACUUUUGAUUGGUUAAGACAGUUCUAAAAUCACUCCGACCAUUUUAGGCCAUUUAGAAAUUUAUGAAGCUGAAGUUGGUAUCGAGCAUUGUACGUUGCAGGAGUUCAAAACAGAGGAGCAGUUCACUGCUUUUGCAAUUUGACUGGCAAAAUUACAGAGAGGGAUGUAAAAGGAGAGAGAAUUAGGAGUUAUUUUGGUACAAAUUGAAAAUUUAAUACUUGAAUUUGAAGUGUUGAAUAAUAUACUCCAACUUGCAUACAUGACAGUUCUUUUUGUAAGAUGCACAAAUUGAUCAAAUUUUUUCAUCCAUGUUUUGGUAUUUAUACAAUUAACAUGUGGCUAUGUCCUCUCUAGAACUGAAUCCGCUAUUACUCAUAUUCGUGCGGAUUUAAAAUGCUCCAUGUAGUCAGAUUAUUUUAAAAAAAGAUACUGAGAAGUUUGUAAUUGACCAAAUUAAUUUGAAUGCUAAUAUUAGACAAAACCGCUGAGUAUUUUAAAAUUUGAGUAUCUCCUCCCUCCAAUUCCAUUUAAGGGGCAAAAAGAAGAUUUGUUAGUGAAGGUAUCUGCCAUUUUUUACUUGCUGAAAUCAUUUUAUUUGCUGCUAUUUAACUAAUUAACUUUUCUUAUUUGCUUCAUAGAUGCAAAGAAAGCAGAGUUGGAAGAACUUACAAGAGAAACUAUGGAGCUUAACUUAGAGCCGGAGGAAUUGUAUAAAGAUGUUGAAGUUGUUGUUUGUACUUCCUCAUCUAAAUUGUAAUUUAGAUGAUGUUUAUGUUUAUUUGGGAGAAUUCGGAUGAUGUUUAAUUAGAACUUUUAUGCAUUUGUGCUUAUUUGAAGAAUAUUAAAAUUUAUUGUUGUGCUUAUUAUAUUAUAUAAUAUAUAAUGUGUAUAUAAAAUAUGUUAAUAU